rnacentral:lncRNA from 1 species
UCUGAUAUGAAUUUUCAUUGCUAUUAUUCUUUUUCGUAUGGUAAACAUUUUGAGAACAAGGAUCAUAUUACAUAUCUUCAUAACUGUAGGUCCUAUAACCAUUCCUAGCCCCUCAUGGCAGACUCAUCUCUAUGGAGACAUAAGGACCCUGGCACAUCUUCCCCUCCACGGACUUGCGGAUGUUCCUGCAGUUCCCAAAAGUGUACCUUCCCCAUCUUGUUCCUCCACCUAGCAGGGCAGAGUCAAGCUAGAUUAGCUCUUACUGACGCUACACAUUUGGAUCUCAGCCU